rnacentral:lncRNA from 7 species
AUUAGUACAAGACAGCUGAGAUCACACCUUCCUGGCUUCACUACAGCAAACCAGAAUGAUCCACACUGUAUUGGCAUAUUGAGGAAUUCCAUGCUUCGUAAAAAUUGCAGGAGAGCUGCCACGUGUCACCAGCCAUCCACAUUGUGUAAAACCCAGAUGGUCACACUGUGUUUCACGAAAAACCUGAAGCACUGUUCAUGCAACUGAAUAGAACUUUGAGGGGAGACCAGUGGAAGCUGUUAAUUUGUAGAAGAGGAUAAAGUAGUCAGGUUUCUGUCACAGACAGUCCUGAAUCCUCCUGUGAAGUAAACAGUAGUUACGACAUCUGAAGAUGAUGAAUUUAAGGACCUAAAAAUAUGCUGUUUUCCACAAUUAACUGCUUUCAAGUAACCUUCAGAUUUGGCUGCUGUUAUGUUUUAUAAUGUAUAUUGUGGCUCUCUUAUUUUUUUUCCCCUCCUUUUGCUUUUGUAUUGCUUUAAAAAGACAACAGAACAUGCUGUGAGUUAAUGUUUCACUUGUAAAAGGUUAUGGAUUAAGCUCAGCUGGUUUCUCAGGCUGACGCGGGGUUCAUGAUUAGAAGAAUGAAAACAAACAUGAAUUGAAAAUGUCACUAACCUUUAUUGGGCCCUGAAAAUCCCUGAGCCUGCAUGACAGGAGGCUUUCCUGUUUUCAACAGGAUAAAGAAGAUUGAAACAAAACAGCAUGGAUCUUGGCUAUUUGCAUCUUUUAAUGAAUGCUCUUCACGUUUGGGUCCCUUUAUCAAUCUCCCAGUUUUCAAGGGUUUAGCUGUGAAAAGUGCGGAUGGUAUCACAUACUCUUAUGAACCAUGGAGUAGACAUCUGUCUAGGAGGCUUUUUCCUCCAAAUUAUGCUCAGUGUAAAGAACCAAGUUUUAAGCUUCAUUUAUGACUUUGCAUGGAUAAGCUAGCCAGUUGUCCAGUCUGAGUGAUAGGCCAAAUAAAAUCAUCUCUAAAUAAUG